AUUGAACGCUGGCGGCGUGCCUAACACAUGCAAGUCGAGCGGUAACAGGCGUAGCAAUACGUGCUGACGAGCGGCGGACGGGUGAGUAACGCUUAGGAAUCUACCUAGUAGUGGGGAACAACCCGGGGAAACUCGGGCUAAUACCGCAUACGCCCUUCGAGGGAAAGCGGGGAGUCGCAAGACCUCGCGCUAUUGGAUGAGCCUAAGUCGGAUUAGCUAGUUGGUAGGGUAACGGCCACCAAGGCGACAAUCCGUAGCUGGUCUGAGAGACGACCAGCCACACUGGGACUGAGACACGGCCCAGACUCCUACGGGAGGCAGCAGUGGGGAAUAUUGGACAAUGGGGGAAACCCUGAUCCAGCGACGCCGCGUGUGUGAAGAA
rnacentral:rRNA from 1 species